rnacentral:misc_RNA from 1 species
UCCGGCUUAUCACCGGCAGUCCCCUUAGAGUGCCCAACUUAAUGCUGGCAACUAAGGGCGAGGGUUGCGCUCGUUGCGGGACUUAACCCAACAUCUCACGACACGAGCUGACGACAGCCAUGCAGCACCUGUGUUACGGUUCCCUUUCGGGCACACCUCCAUCUCUGGAGGCUUCCGUACAUGUCAAGGGUAGGUAAGGUUUUUCGCGUUGCAUCGAAUUAAUCCACAUAAUCCACCGCUUGUGGUUUAAUUCGAAGCAACGCGCAGAACCUUACCAGCCCUUGACAUCCCGGUCGCGGGUACGAGAGAUCGUAUCCUUCAGUUCGGCUGGACCGGUGA